UGGGGAAUAUUGGACAAUGGGCGAAAGCCUGAUCCAGCCAUGCCGCGUGUGUGAAGAAGGUCUUCGGAUUGUAAAGCACUUUAAGUUGGGAGGAAGGGCAGUAAGCGAAUACCUUGCUGUUUUGACGUUACCGACAGAAUAAGCACCGGCUAACUCUGUGCCAGCAGCCGCGGUAAUACAGAGGGUGCAAGCGUUAAUCGGAAUUACUGGGCGUAAAGCGCGCGUAGGUGGUUCGUUAAGUUGAAUGUGAAAGCCCCGGGCUCAACCUGGGAACUGCAUCCAAAACUGGCGAGCUAGAGUAGGGCAGAGGGUGGUGGAAUUUCCUGUGUAGCGGUGAAAUGCGUAGAUAUAGUAAGGAACACCAGUGGCGAAGGCGACCACCUGGGCUCAUACUGACACUGAGGUGCGAAAGCGUGGGGAGCAAACAGG
rnacentral:rRNA from 1 species